CGCGGUCAACGACGAUGCGGAAGUUUCGUUCCCAGGACGAGCUGACUAGAGACUUGUUUGUGAGUUGGAGAUCAAUAAAUGGUGUUGGAAUUGCACUGCUGUUGAUGUGUUCAGGCUUCCAUCAGGCUCCCUUGUUUUCUUCCCAAGCCUUGGCGGAUGCGCUCGGGGUCCCCAGACAUCGCAUCCUGCCUGCAGGAGCCUCCUAAGUGGCCCCACAGGAUAACCUCAACAACGGUUUUAGUUUCGCAUUGGAUGGCGAUUGGGACUGGUUGGCACAGGGGAAGGGCCUGUUCACCCUUGGGCUAAAACGUCUUAAUCCAGGAUGAUCUCCAAGGGACUCCAACAGAUGACGGUGCAGUCCCGCAAUGGAAGGCUGCCAGCGAGGCUUACACAGGGACACGUUAAAGUGUGACAAAGUCAUAUUAAACGUGUUACGCUGACUAACUAUCGUCAUCACAAGUGAAUAAAAAAUAUAAUCCCUUUGUUUAAGAGAUGAUUAACCUGAUGGGCUGGGUCCGGUGGGGCAGUAGGGCCAGUGCGCGCUGACCCCUUUCUAUCUUUCUGGACUGCUUGAAGCAACUAAUCAGCUGUGAUAGUGUGACACGGUGCACGUCUACAGACAGAAAGACAGACUUUUGAACCCAGUUCAUGUCUCAUAUUGUGACCAGAGACUGUAGAACUGCUGUAAUGCUUCU